rnacentral:lncRNA from 1 species
CAUCUUGCUACAUGCACGAGAGACAUGGACAUUAAGGAAACAGGAUAUUCAGCGGCUUCUGCCUUUGAAGUGAAAUGUUACAGGUGGUUGCAACACAUGAGCUAUAUCUACCACACAACUAACGAGGACGUGAUCAGCCUGAUUUACCACCUAACCAGAGUGAUACCCGAUAGCGUCAAGAUGAUCAGACUAAGAAAACUUGAGUUUGUGCAAAAUCAGAACUCUUAAUUAUGCAUCUUGCAAAUGUGCUUUGAAAAUGGAUUAGAUGCACCAGCUGUUUACUACCAUGGCAGAGCCUUUUCCGAAGCAUUUGUAGCAGCUCCCAAGUAUUCUCCACGUUCCCUGCUCUGGCAGUGCAAGCAUGUGAUCGGGAAGGACCAGCUUUGGGUCAAUGUGAAAAUUAGCUUGGGUUUUGUAGACCAGACUAAAGUUACAAGACCCUGCAGAAGACUGGAGCACCUUCAGUAUCCAAAUGGGAGAGAGCCUGCUCAUCUGAACCUCAUGCAGCUACAAUUGACUGUACAAGGGAUGGUUUUCUUUAUUCAACUAAAGUUUCCUGGGAAGUGGCAAUAAUCCAAGCUCCUACUGUAGAUCAGGGUGGGGUGGAUUUUCAAAGGCACAAACUGGAGUAGGAUGCCUAAUUGCCCUUUGUGCCUGAGGAAAACAUGUAGCUGUUAUGGGCUGCUCCAGGAGCACUAGCUUUUAUUUUUUGUAAUUUCAAAACAUUUACCUUGGUCUGUGUGGUGGUGUGUGCACACCCCAUCUCCUGGCAGGGGGGAUAGUGGGUGUGCAUACACCACAGUUACAGUCUACCAGGCUGUCUUGGGCAUCACCACAAUGAGGGCCAAUGGCUAGAGUCCCUACCACAGCCCUCAGGUGCAGAGCAGCAUGGCCUAGCAGCUAGAUCCAGGGGCCAAUACCAGAUGAGGUGGCAGCCAGGGUAGGGGGACCCAGGCCCACCUGACUCCACUGGGUCCCAACCCAGUGCCCUAACAAUGGCCAUGUGUCCACCACUGGGUCAGUAGGGAAUCCAA